rnacentral:misc_RNA from 1 species
GCUGUUGCUGCUGCUGAGAAAGGCUUUUCAGAGAAGACGUUGAUGACAAAGAUGAUGGAGCUUGAGAUGUUGAUGUUCUGGUAGAGUUCUUCCACUGAGGUGACUGAGCUUGAUUGCUGUUGUUACCACUCUGUACAAGAUUUUGAGGAAAAGCAGACAUUGCAUUUGGAAAUUUUGAAGCAGCAGAAGCAGAUGAAGUCAAGUGUUCCGAAUAAACAUUCCCAUUACUAGAGGCUGAUGUCUUACUCCGAGCAGCAACAGCCGCUGCAAACUGAUGUUGUUGAUGCUGCUUAUGAAGCUGAAGCAUUUGUUGCUGCUGUUGCUGUAUUUGAGCUUGCAACUGUGCAUUAGGAACAUUUACAGAUCCCAUAGCAUUUGGCAUUGCAGCUCUAGCAGUCCAUGAAGCACCAGAUGGAAGAUUCAAGGACCUUGUUGAGCUAUCAAUGACACUGUUGGCUGCAAUAGUAGACCCAGAGGCAUCAGACGUAUCGGACCUUGAAAAUGCAAUAGACUGACCAGCAUUUCCGGAAGGCUUCAUUGCUAAACCUUUUCUUUCGGCAUCAGCCCCAGACUGGUCACCAGAUCCAGAUUUACCAUCCUCAGAUACCCUGAAAUUCUUCUUCUGCUGCACAGCCUGAGCAGCAGCUGCUGCGGCCAUCUGUAAAUUUUGCCUCGUAGCUUCCGGGAGACUCUGGAAAAUAGCAUGAUUAUGUGCCAUGGACAUGUCAAUGCCAGGUCCAGCAGUGGCUCCAUUAAAUGAAGCAAACGACAUGGCAAAAGGUUGAGGAGGCGCUGACUCUAGACUCGCUUUUAGACCUGGCUGCUGCUGCUGCUGUGGCUUCUUCUCAGUUUGAUGAUUACUGCCGCCACCAGCAGAAGAGGCAACGCCAAAAUUAGCUGGAGGAGUCAUCAUACCAAAGUUUGAGGGAUGCAUGGGCAUAGCAAAAUUCUGAUUGUACACAUUAAUUGGUCCAUGCGACCUUUUCCUCUCUGCAGUUGGGCUAUCUUCACUACCCACCUCAUUUUCAAUAUGGCGUGUCUGUGGAGGCAUAUGCUGAUUCUGUGACGACUGUGCUGGGGACUGAGAUGGAUGAUUUUUUGUCCCAGGAAAACUAUGUAAAUUACCACCACUGUUCCCACCAUUAACAGCAUUGCCUUGGGACCUCUGUUGCUGGUUCUGCAAAUGCUUAUGGGAUGAAGAGGAUCCACUUGACAUGCUUGUGUUUUGUUGACCUUGUUGCAUUUGUUGGGACUGCGAUGUUGCUGGCUGCUGCUGCUGCUGUUGUUGU